AGUGAAGCGGGAUGAGCUCAAAUUUAAAAUCUGGCUGGUUUACUAGUCCGAAUUGUAGUUUAAAGAAGCGUUUUCGGUGGCAGUCUCGGUAUAAAUCCUUUGGAAUAGGGUAUCAUAGAGGGUGAGAAUCCCGUCUUUGACUGAGAAUUUGCUACUAUGUGAUACGUUUUCAAAGAGUCGAGUUGUUUGGGAAUGCAGCUCAAAAUGGGUGGUAAAUUUCAUCUAAAGCUAAAUAUUGGCGAGAGACCGAUAGCGAACAAGUACCGUGAGGGAAAGAUGAAAAGAACUUUGAAAAGAGAGUUAAACAGUGCGUGAAAUUGUUGAAAGGGAAACGCUUGAAACCAGUCAUGUAGUUGGAAAAUCAGUGUUCAAUUGGGGGGAAUGGGGGAGGUGUGGACCGCAAGGCUGCUCUUUUCUAUAUCUCUUUUGUUGGGCAUGCACUUUUUCUUCCGCAGGUCAACAUCAGUUUCUUCUGCUGGACAAAACUCUUGAGAAGGUAGCAGCUUAGGCUGUGUUAUAGCUCUGGAGCGAUACAGUGGAGGGGACUGAGGUUUUCGCAGCAUGUGCUCUCGGGCAAGGCCAAUUGGGUGCUAUGGGAUCGUUCGGGGUACAAUACAUGUAUUUUGCUUCGUGUCUUUUCUAUACUCGUUCAAUUGAGCUCUUCCAUGCUUAGGAUGUUGACUUAAUGGUUUUAAUCGACCCGUCUUGAAACACGGACCAAGGAGUCUAACAUAUAUGCAAGUGUUUGGGUGGCAAACCCAUGCGCGUAAUGAAAGUGAACGUAGGUGCCAUCCGCAAGGUGCAGCAUCGACCGAUCUUGAUAUUUUUGGAUAGAUUUGAGUAAGAGCAUAUAUGCUGGGACCCGAAAGAUGGUGAACUAUGCCUGAAUAGGGUGAAGCCAGAGGAAACUCUGGUGGAGGCUCGUAGCGAUUCUGACGUGCAAAUCGAUCGUCAAAUUUGGGUAUAGGGGCGAAAGACUA
rnacentral:rRNA from 1 species